CUCCAAGCAGGAGCCGCCGAGUGAUUGAUGGGCCCCAGCUUGAAUGGAAAGUCCAGAUUCCAGCAACACAGCUUAAGAGAUGAAGGUUGCUUGAGCAGGAAAUCCACCCAUGGCCCAAAGAGGAAAGAUCCGCUUUAAAUGCCUGGGCAUAUACUUCCAAGAACCAGAUGUGGCCUGUUCCUUACACCUCCCUGGGCUUAGAUGACAGCUUGAACUCUGCGGCUGAUGGAAUUGAGCAGAUGGGAAUGACCUGGAAUCUAACACUCUACAAUUCAGACACACCACUGUCCACUUGUCCCUCCCUUCCUGCCACUGGCCCUGCCAGCGUACCUUGUGUACUUCGCAAAGGUCACUGGCUCCUGUUUUAUGUAAUGACUGACAGACGAUCUCGCCCAGCUCAGCAAUGUGAACAGACACCUUGCAUGGUGCCGGUGGUGGGUGCGGUUGUUUCUGGAUGUCAUGGAAGAGGCUGGGGCAUACCAGGGCUUUCCCCAAUUGUGCCUAAAAUAAAUUGGCUCUUGGGAGGUU
rnacentral:lncRNA from 1 species